CGGCGUACUCGGGGAGUCGUAUACGAGCGCGCGCUCAGCUCUAUAUACGUGUGGCUUUAGCUGUCCUCGACUCCUUCGCUAUUCCGGGUUAACCGACCUUCUCCACACCCUAGCAACGCUUGUCUAGAUGACGUGAAACUGGGUCUUGGUUCAAGGUCGAGAACCUCUCGACUAGUGAGAACGCGGUGGCCUCAACCCCCGUGCUACAAACUCCGCUAUACUAUGGCCUUCGAUUACUCCAUCGGAUCCAUUCGCGUCCUGCGACGAAUACCGUUUUUUCAUGCUUCUGCGAACGGACCUCAACCGAAAAAACGGCACUUCGGACUUGUCGCCAUUCAAGGGUUCGAACGAAACUUGAACGUUUCAUUCAUCAUUUUCCGCAGCGACGCCCCAAAUUUCGGGAAUUUUUGUUUUUACGGCCAGUUUCGAAUGGACGUUAUCCCGAAGAAAGCCUGAUCCAGAAAGUGCCUUUAACGCACUAUUGUUGCACGAAUUGAGCCUUGAAAUAUAUGAGAACUAAACAAACAACGCUUUCAUCACCAUUAUUUUCUACACUGUUAUUCGCUUCUUUAGUUUUCUCUCUAUAAAACAUGUUUCAAUUUAUUAUUCUUUGUUAGAAUAUUUGAGUAAGCGAAAGAUGCAAAGCCGAAGUUUUCCGGUAGGAUGAGCCAUUUCCCAUGUUCAGAGUAAACGAAAAGGUCGAGCGGAAUGAGUUAAUUUAAUAUUUCAAGCGCCCCUGCCAAAGCUGGCCCAGACUAGUUCAGUUUUUUUUAUGAUCAUUUCCAUUAUUCGUGGUUGCUUUGACCUUUUGUACGUUCUAGAUGACCCGAGGACUUUUCCUGUGGAAGCAGCCUGAUCCGUCGAGAGGUUUCCCUCCUUGGAAUGUUCGCCCAUGGUGAUAGGUCAAGUUCACAGUUCAAGGCUCAAGGUUCGAAGACCCUAAACGUAUAUACGUGUAUAUUUGGCCAGAAGGGAGAAAAUAGGGAGGUUUAGAAAAGGACAGAAGCCGGACUGCUUUACGGCCACGUUGGAAGUGUGGGUGCUCGAGCGAGGAGAGAAAGAGAGAGCGAGGCUCGAGCAGGCGCUGGUGGUGCGCAAGACGCGCUUUUCCCAUUCACAGGAGCAUCCAGCCAAGAGCUCAGAUAAAUCAGCCUGCCCUGCGGCUUUAUCCCCGUGGUUUAGUCUGUUUUUCAUACCCUUGUUGGUGGAAUCUCCUCUUGACGAAGGCCUCAAAGGAGCCGGAAGUUCGAGCCUUAUCAACGAUCACGAAAGAUCGUCUCAAGAAAAUUCGGCUAAAAUUUGACGACGAUUAACGAGCAAUGCUUCCUCCAUUCGUUCGGCAAAUGGAUCCCCGUUUCAGCAUUUAUGCCUCUUCGUGGUAACGCAGUAUUGUUUUAUCAGCAGAGUCGGAGAACAAUGAAAAUUCACAUGAAACAUUGACUCGGUUGUUAAAUCGAAUAAUGAAGUCGUAAAACGACUAAUUAAUUAUCUGGCAACAUGCUUUCAUUAAGAAUUGAAAAAUCGCUAUAAUAUCUCUUGAUUAAUAUUGAAUUAAAAGUUAUUUCACAUUUUAAUGGAGCUUCCAUGGACACUCUUCGGAAACUGAAAGCUGCAUUUUGCUGCACCGAGAGAAUCUCAAAGGGCUGUAAAAAGGAUAUUUUUUGGAAAAAAAACGACGAAAGUUUAUUACACGAUUUACGUCGGCGACCAAUUAAUUAUGUACCAAGAGGGUGACUGCACAGAAAAUGAACGAAAUGAAGCAAAGCACUCUCAUUAUACAUUGCCAUGUCCCUAAGCAAUGGACGUAUAUUUAUAUUCAGUUGAUAUGCCAGUGACGGCGUUGCGCUUUCGUGUUUGCUAAACGAAGUGUAUCGUGUUAAAUAAAGCGUCUUUAAUAACGUCAAACAGAAAUUGAACAAACUAUUUCGCUACAUUACGUAUCAUUAUGGUGAUCAAUUUGAAAAAAUAUAACUUGUUAAGCUCGCACUAUUGCUCGACAAAGAGUUCGUGUGUCUGUUCGCGCAAUGAACGCAGAAUAAUUGCUCGUAGAAAAACAGUUUUCGAACGAACGAUCUCUCGUCAGGUGAGAUAACAAUUCGCCGGGAAGCAGCAGCAAACGAUAAAAAAUUUCUUCCCAGCGCGCUCUCGGACUCCGCGGAGAAAUUCAAAGACCCGGUUUAUUAUUUUUAUUUUACUCUCGCAGUCGCAUUCGCUAUCGUAGCAACAGCCGAUUCGAGAAGAGAAGAAUAGAAGGGGUUUGAAAAAAUUGGAAAUUUUUCAAUAUUUUUCAUUGGGUCGGUCCAAACACGAAAUUCCGAAUUUUUUCAUUUUUUUGCACCUGUAAAGAAAAAUGAUGGAAGUAAUCGUGCAGUGGCGCGGUGUUUGAAAGGAGAAAAGUAAAUAACAAUAAAAAUGAUGAAACGUCGAUCGUAAAACCAACUUCAGGGCGUCUCGCUUUUAACCAGCAAAUGGACGCAUCGAAAAAUGUAUUCGCAUACUGACAACGGGUGAACAUGAAUUUAUCGAAUAAUUACCGGAUGCCUGCCAUUCCGACACAAAUCAUCGAGGACAUUUAAAGUUGCGUGACUUUUCUGAUGCGGAGUAUCGCCAAUCUUAUAAAUUGCAGGGAUCCUGAUUUGUUGAAAUUACCAAAGGACUUUAUGGACGCGUCAGUCGGUUCGGGACGAUGGCAAAUUCUGGUUACUCUGAUGCUCAGCUUCAUCACGUUCAUUCAUCUUCUAAACACCGGAAACGAAACCCUCCUGCGUCCGCCUGGCUGGUGGUGCAAGAUGCCCGAUUUCAUUGCCGGUUGGACCGAUGUACAGUGGAUUUUGUACAGUCAUUACAAGGAUUCAGACAAGGUCCGAGGGAAAUCGUAGGAACAGGUGCUGAUGCAAAACGCACCGGAGGCUCGACGUUCGGAGAAGCAGGAGCGUGUAAAGGAGACGAAUUUGAGAGUAACUCUCUUAGAGAUCCGAGUCAGAAGGUGCAGAGCGCGAGAAGCAAAAAAUACUCGGCGCGGCGGUGGCAAAGGGACAGAAGAGCGAGGGAGGGAGAGAGCGAGAGGAAAGGACCUGCUUACCACCUGACGGUGUUUCGGCAACCCGAGAGUCUCUUAGAAGAUUUGGUUGCUCGUAUUUUGUGUAUUAUAUCCUGCGUCGACAGCCCUGGCCAUCCGAUCGUCCCUCUGACUCUGCCUUACAGCGCGAAAUAUUGUAAAUGAAAAAGAAAAAAGGCUGAACGAGCGCGUUAAUAAUGUUAAUAAUAACGAAUGCGAGACGAAGAUAAUGCAAAAGCUGAGGUGGAACUCGCACCGAACUCACGUGAUAUUUAAUCGUUGCAAUUAAAACGAAGAGCCCACGGUGUGAACUUGAUUAACGGGUCACGGUCUCAGACUUGCAUUGAAAAUGACUCGUUACCCAUCCAAUUAGUAUAAUAAACAAGGAAGGGAGCUUUCUGGAAAGGACGACCGAAAAAAUGAUCGUUAACGGGAUCGUGAUCCACGAUCCCGCGGCCAAAGCUGCCGGAAAGGAGGAACGAAUUUUGCGGUUUCGUCCUUCGAUAACCGAGCGUUGAAAUAGACCACUUCCGGUUUCACCGCAACUCGUCCCCCAGCGUUUUUCGUCAGGAAACCUCAGCUCUUUGUUCCUCCUGCUCCGAGCUCAUCUUAUUUCUUCCGUAUAUAUUUGUGGCUGAUCUCGUACACACGGAGACAUUCUCAAUGAAGCCACCGCGCCAUGUUUUAUUGUGAGAGAAAACGAAUGAGCCGGUCUUUUACUCGCGCGAUUAAGGAUUUAACGAGGCGGAGUUUGAAAUUGUUAUCGAACAUGGUAUACGCAUAUAUGGAGCGUGUAACUCAACUAUAUACCUUCUGGCAUGCACCUUAAUUUGCUCACGAAAUGUGAAAUAACCACAAAAUCUACAGGCACGUAUACGAAGCAUUUUUAUUCCGAGUCUGAUUUUAUUAUUAUCAUUAUAUCGAGCCGAAAAUUGCCUCAUUGUUGUGGAGCGAGAGAAAAAGAGAAAGAGGAGAGUUCCGAGUCAGCGUGCAUUACGAGUUUCUGUCUUGUUAGGGAUCUUUGCCCAUAUAAUCUCGAGCUCCGGGGAUCCUUCCUUUUUUCUCUCCCUCUUUGUGGUCUCCUAUAAUAGUUCCCUUUGUCGCCGCGUCUCUUAUUCUUUCGCUACAAAAUCAUCGCAAUUACGAAUUCUUCGAGUCUGAUGCUGUCGCACGAACGUUGCGUGGCGCGUGCUGAAUAAUUUAUGAUAUUUCGCGAUACCGAUUCUCCGCGCCGUCCGUGCGCCGACGCAAUGAUGUUCGAUCGCGAAGCAAACUCGAAAAAUUCGAUGCUCCCUAUAUGGAAAAAGCUUUUUUUAAAAAGCAUUGAAAAUUCUCCAAUCUAGCCUUUUCAUAAUGAAUUGCAUUUUUUUCCAGCCCCGUUCAUUCGUCACCGUUUCAUCGGUGAAGAAAUUCUUCGAAAAAUCUCUCCCUCACCGUUCCCAAAAUAUCUGAUUUUUUAAACGCUUCGUUCCCUCGCUCUCUCUCUCUCUCUCUCUCUCUCUCGUCCGCGCACUCGCAUGACGUUAUCGCAAAGGUUCGUCGAGAAUCGAUGAACCGGGCAUUUAAAUGCGACGCUCAAUUGACACUCGUUUUAGGUGAUUUUACGCGAGAACGAAUACACACAAGCUCUAUGAUACGCACGACAGAGCGAAUGAACAAUGUGCAUCUGGCCCGACUGCAUCGAACAAUGCUUCAAUUUUAAUGUCCUGACGAACAAGAGUCAUACUGAUCAGACACAGAGCCCCGAUAAUUAUGCGAGUCGCGUGUGCCCCGCCGAUAAAUUAACGGCCAGAUGUGUCCCCAUUUUUUGUUGCGUCCGAUACCAUUUUCUUGUAACCCCCAUUUUUCCAAGAAAUCAUUCCUCCAUGAAGCAUGUAACUCGAACCGAUUUUCGAACCUUUCUGGAACUCGUAAAUUCAACAUUUCACAAGAAUGCAAAAUUGCUUCGUAAAGUUUCAUUAUAAUUCUGUCAAGCUUACACUAAUUAGGACCAAUUUCGUUUGCAAUUUCGCUAUUCCUCAACGCGUUCAUGAGCCCAAACCAUCGAUUUUCCGAUAAUUUUAUCCACGAGGCCCAACAAAUUCCGACAAGUUCACGAAUAAAACGUAGUUUUCGGGCAUCUAACAAUCCGUUUAUUUUUUCUUUGAAUACGGACUGCUGCGAAAUAGCUUUGUUGACAGAUGCGAAAUGAGGUAUAUUCGACGCGAUAUAUUUAUGCAGGCUUAUUUAAAGACACGCGUAUAUAUUAAAAGGUACACUUGGCAAACGUGUAAUGGGAUAUAAUAUUAGCUGUACUAUAUUUGUACGAUAAUUUCGAUCUGCGUCGCUUUAUAUAAACUUGACGUCCACUGCGCGUGUCUCAUAUCCCCAUAAAAACUCAUGAAUUAUUCAUUCAUCGUUUUCAUACGUACGUAUAUACACAUAUAUAUGUACGCAAGGAUAUUUACUGGGCGAUAAAACCUGAGAAAGAUCUACGAUCGUUACACUCAAGCCGGGACAUAGUACCUCGCACAUAUAUAUAUACGUAUAAAUAUUCGCGUGGUUACAAGUAUCUGUACGUACGGUUAGCAAAAGCCUAUAAUUAAGAGCACUUUCCUCAGUCAUUCAUUAUCGAUAAUUGGUUUAUUAGCCAACGUGCUACGUUUUUCUUUCGAAUAAAAAGGGGCGAGAGAGAAAAACGAAAAGAAAAUAUGACCGCUAAGUAGGCUCCUUCACGAGAGACGGAAGAAUUGGCAACUUUUGUAUAUCGAAUAUUGAUAAAUCAACGGAAAAUACGCGUGGUAUAAUGUUUCAUUGUAAUUUUCAUAUUUCUUGCAUUAUUUUCGGACGUAAAGAGGCUGUCGAAUUUUCAUGAAUUUCAAUUUGCUUGAGCAAAAUAAAUGAGCGCGGGGAAACGAUGGUGAAAAAAAAAUACGCGAAUUUUCGUAUAUCGAAAAGUGCUUUGAGUGCUUUGAAAUUAUCAUCGAGAAUAUAAUAUUCGACGCGCGCACAUUAAAAAUGGAAGCGUACCUUGAUGGAAAAUUUUCAUGUACUUCGGUGGAAUAAAUUUAAACUAAAU
rnacentral:misc_RNA from 1 species